rnacentral:rRNA from 1 species
UACGGGGGGGGCAAGCGUUGUUCGGAAUUACUGGGCGUAAAGGGCUCGUAGGCGGCCAACUAAGUCAUACGUGAAAUCCCUCGGCUUAACCGGGGAACUGCGUCUGAUACUGGAUGGCUUGAGAUUGGGAGAGGGAUGCGGAAUUCCAGGUGUAGCGGUGAAAUGCGUAGAUAUCUGGAGGAACACCGGUGGCGAAGGCGGCAUCCUGGACCAAAACUGACGCUGAGGAGCGAAAGCCAGGGGAGCAAACGGG